UAGAUAGGGAUGAUGCAAAAAUAUAAUCCAACACUUGAUCUGAGAUAAUUUAGUGAAGUUAAAUCGUUUUAUAUGCCUCUGAAUCUAC
rfam:Lupinus angustifolius cultivar Tanjil chromosome LG02, whole genome shotgun sequence.